ensembl:ncRNA F12A10.11 ncRNA
GUCAGAAUAAUGAGUUUGGGAAAUGAUAUCUAACUUUGGUUAAGAGCUGCCUUAUGCCGCGGAGUUGCCUAGGCCAAGG